CUGUUUUAGUUUUUCCUGUUUUAUUGUGUUCAUUUAUUCCCCGUUUCCUUGUUGUUUACUGUCUGUGUUCUCUGUUGUGUUUUACCCUGUUUUCAUCCUUGUGUAUGUUUUAUGCUUCAGUUUCCUGUUUUAUUUUGUAGUCUGUUUUCUCCCAUGUCAUGUCUUGUUUUACUUCCUGCCUUGUAUUUUCCCGCCUUUGUGAUUGUCUGCCCCACCCUGAUGUGUUUCACCUGUUCCUGAGCCCUCGUGUCACCUGUUCCUUGUUUCACCCUCGUUACCUAGUAUAUUUAUUCUCUGUGUUGACUUUGUCUGUUGUCUGAUCAUUGUAUUGUGUUUUUAAAAGAUU